CUAAAACCCACGCUUGCUCAGGCACAAGCCUGAGGGCCAGCAGAGAGCCAGAUCUACAGAGAGGACAGGCUUAACUUUAGCUCUCAGGCGUCUGCCUGGAGGAGGUGAUGGUGAAAGAGAGUGAUGGUAAGACUUUUCCACAGUGACCCAAAGAUGAUAGCCAUCCCCCCGCACCCCAGAUCCUGAAUUUUCAGGAACCACAGAGACUGGACUUCUUAUGGGGCUCAAAGCUGUGUGUUUCAAGGCGGGAGUGAGUGACCGAGGAGUUAGCAUUUGCUGGGCAUGAUGAGGACCAACCUUGAGGACUGCGAGGACCCUCCCAGUCCUUAAGUCCCAGGAUGCCCCUGAGUCUCUCUGACCUGCAGGAAACUCCAGGCGAUAGACUCAGUCCUAUCUCACUGGUAUUCCUGGCCCCACUGAAAGCCGCUGCAGCUCCCUCUGCCCAUCUGACUACACACGACAUGCCAUCCCGCAGGGCGCCCGACUCCCUGAGUGGACAGGGAGAACCUGGACCGCAUCGCUUCCGGACCUCCACGACUCAGCAUUGCCUAACUCCGGUGCCAUGGAGUAGGUGUGGGUGGCUGCUGGACAAACGUCCUGAAAUCCUCACUGAACCUUCUACCCUCCGAGUCUGCUCAACCCGGCUCAGCCACGGCACAUCCUUCGGGAGCCAUGAAGGGUGAAUGGCCAUGGGCACAAGACACACUCACCCCGCCUGCCGAGGCCCUGGUAUGAGUGUGGCAGACAAGGGGCAUCAGUGACAAUGGUAUCUGUCAUUCCCCUCCAAGUCCAGGACACUUUCUUAUCUGCCUUCUCAUUACUUUUAUGGAUAAUUUUACAAGCUAAUAUUAGUAAGUGUGUGUCCUGUGCUAGGCUGUGGACUAAGUGCAUUUUAUACACUAUUCACUUCCUCACCCCUGAGGUCAACAAGCAUGUUUAACUCUUCAUUACGGAGAUGUGCAACACCCCCUCCCCACCAAAGAAGGAGAGUAAUGUAAUUAACCCACAUGCAUUCAUUUCCUACUUUGAACAGUUACCAACAUUUGGCGAUUUUUGCUUCAUCAACUCCUAUUUUUCCUUAAACUGGAAUAUUUUAAAGCAAAUCCCAGGGUGCCACAUUACCCAUAAAUACUUCAGCUUCUUUUUUUAUUUUGACCUAACCUCAAUAACACAAUCACACUCAAUCAAAUUAACAAUAAUAUAUUGUCUA